GAUGAACGCUGGCGGCGGGCCUAAUACAUGCAAGUAUGGCGAACGGAUGGGAAGCUGUUUUUUCUGAUGUGAGCGGCGGACUGGUGAGUAACACUUGAAUAACCCAUCUAUGAUACUGGAAGAACUUCGGAAAACCGGAGCUAAUACCGUAUGAUAGUUUUAACCGCAGGGUUCAAAAGUGAAAGACGGUCUUGCUGUCACUUAUAGAUGGAUCCGCGCUGCAUUAGCUAGUUGGUAAGUUAACGGCUUACCAAGGCAACGAUGCAUAGCCGACCUGAGAGAAUGAUCCGCUCCCCUGGAACUGCGACACGGUCAAGACUCCUACGGGAGCCCGCAGUAGGGAAUCUUACGUCAUGGGCGCAAGUCUGACGGAGCAACGCCGCGUGAGUGAUGACGGCCUUCCGAUCGCCAAACUCUGUUCUUCGGGACGAACAUAUGUGUAAGUAACUGUCCACAUCUUGAAGGUACCAAAUCAGAAAGCCACGGCUCACUACGUG
rnacentral:rRNA from 1 species